AUCCCUACGUGUUCCUGAACAGUGAUAAUGCGACGAUAGGGCCAGCGAGAUUACAUUGCAGGGAUCUCAAAGAUUGCAUUGCAGGGAUCUGAAUCCUUCGCAUUCAUCGUACGAGAGUGACGACGAACUGAAGACGAUCCUGUUCAUCAGUUAGUUGGGCGAAAAGUUAGCUGUAGCAGCUGACUGCCAUUUUUCUGUCGCUCCCAGCCGACUCCGGACUGGAUUUUUGGCAGCAGGUGCUCUAGGCCAUCUGGGUCGCUGGAUUCCAUUUGCACGGUCAAGAAGAUCCAUGGCCGCUCUCUCUUUCUGACCCAUGGCCCCACCUGGAGGCCGGUGCAGAGCACGGAGCGGUAGAUCCUUUCCUCACCUGCUGCGCCGCCGGCCCGGACACCACCAUGGAAGCAGAUCCGCCGCCGGAGAGUGCGACGGAGGAGGAGGUCCUGCUACGCAUCCAUCCCUCCCGCCCAAGUCCCAACCUGCUCGUCCGCAGGUUUGCUGACGCUCUGCUUUGCAUUUCCAGGCGGGCACGACAGUCCUGGGGUAGGAGAUCCCUAAAUGUGGUUCUCGGCGUGCGCUUCAUCCAUGGUACAUGAGCGUGAGCACGAGGCACACAGGUGGGCUGCGCGGCUGAAGGUUACAUGGGCCGACGGGUCAGCUUUGGGCCCAGGACGAAUGAUGGAACAGCCGAUUGCAAGCCAAGCAGAAUCCCAUUGGUUCAAGAAGAUUUGUGUGGAUUCAGGCCGUUGAAUAGCGUAGCACACUACGUCCAGUUAGGUCUGUUUUACUUGCGAGGUAUCCCACACCUACCUUGGCGAUAUUUGUUUUGAUGCCGGUGAAGGGCGGUAAGAGUUUGGCCUAUCAGAUGUGUUGGUGGUUCUCAUCAGAUCUUAGUAGCAAAUUUGUUUAUUAGGAGAAGCAAUUUAUUGACUUUUGAUGACCUCUUGUUUUGGUCUGUUGUGUAGUCAUAGUCCAACACUUCGUUCAGAACUUCAGAUGGUGAAGAUUUGUAAGGUUGUACCUAUUCUUUUUUUUUAUGCAGCCAAAGAAAUAAAAAGUCAACGGAAUGCGAUCAAGUGAAGGUGAAAGGUGUCCCCAUGGUCAUACAUGUGAACUGACUAUUGACUCUCUCAAUUUAUUUAGUUGGUUCUGGUAACCUUAUCUGAACCUGCUUCUUGAGACCAAUAUGCCCAUGUUCUCUCCUUAGAGAUUUAGUGAGAAGCACAUAAUAAAGGAUUUCAGAGUCGUACAGAACUCCAAAAUGGAAACUUUCCUUUCUGCCA